rnacentral:lncRNA from 1 species
AUGUCAAAUGGCACCAAAAGUUAAGUUUGAGCGGGCCAAACCCACCAAGAAAGUAAAAUCUGAACUGGAAGCUAUGUCUGAACCUAGACAUAAUAUGGUGGCGUACUUACAACCAGAAGGAGGCAUCAGUCCUGAGUUUGCUGGAAUUAUGGAAUAUCUUCACCGGGCGAGAAUUAACUAUGCUAUCACCACACAGCAUGUCGCCUAUCAAUCACAUAUCAAGGCAUUCUGGAGUACAGCUGGGGUGGAAACAGUGGAUAAUCAGGAAGUAAUCAGGGCAAUCGUUGCAGAAAAGCCAGUAGUCAUUACUGAGAAUUCUAUUAGAGAACGUCUUCAACUUGGUGAUAAUUCUGAAGAUCCAACUUCAAUAGAUUUGCAGUGUCAAAGGGGGUUAUUGUUAAGGCUCAAGUACAGCGACAACGUCCU